GACGAACGCUAGCGGCAGGCUUAAUACAUGCAAGUCGUACGGGGAUCCGAGGUAGCAAUACUUUGGUGAGAGUGGCGCACGGGUGCGUAACACGUAUGCAACCUACCUAUAACCGGGACACAACCUCGAGAAAUUGAGGCUAAUAUCCCAUAACACUGCGAGAUGGCAUCAUUUUGCAGUUAAAACUCCGGUGGUUAUAGAUGGGCAUGCGCGACAUUAGCUAGUUGGUGAGGUAACGGCCCACCAAGGCUACGAUGUCUAGGGGUUCUGAGAGGAUUAUCCCCCACACUGGUACUGAGACACGGACCAGACUCCUACGGGAGGCAGCAGUAAGGAAUAUUGGUCAAUGGGCGCAAGCCUGAACCAGCCAUGCCGCGUGAAGGAUGACGGCCCUAUGGGUUGUAAACUUCUUUUGUACGGGAAAAAACCUCUGGUCGAGAAUCAGAGCUGAUGGUACCGUAAGAAUAAGCAUCGGCUAACUCCGUG
rnacentral:rRNA from 1 species